GCAUUGGAUCUUCAUCUAAAUAUACAGGAUCGCCCAAAUAACUAUAGGCCGACCUGAAUGAUGGACGAUCAGGAGAACCGUCAGAAUCCCUACAAGAGCCCUACCUAUACCUAUCUUUCUCAACUGUUCUACACUAACCCUAAUCUUCCGACUCUACUUAAAACGUUGUGACGACCGACGAGUGUCUAUUUGGGCUGGUGGACGUAGUGGCCGGCGUCAUAUCUCUCUCUCUCUCUCUCUAUCUCUUUGUGUCGUGCUGGUUUCAGAUCUGACUUUACUGAUACUCCAUUUUGGUGACAAUACCCAAUUUCCAUAUUGGGAAAACAUAAAACCCAUCUGGGUUUCCUGGAGUAGGGAGUGAGAAAAGAGGAGAGAGGUGGGGGGUUGAGAACUGAGAAGAAGAGACUGACAGAAGAGAGUGAGCACACACUGGGAAUUGCAUAAGAGGUAUGCCUUUGUUUUGUGGGUGCUCACUUCUCUUUCCGUCAGCUUCCCACUAUUGCCGGAUUCUCUCACCUUUCUCUCUAUCCUAUCCUUCCUCUCCUCACUCCUCACUCUGAUCAUCUGAUACACUUCCCCAUAAAAAUUGGUUUUCCUUCUCUCUGUCUCUCUUCAUGCGAAAAAAGAGAAACAAAUGGCUAUUAUUAAACAGAUAUGAAACGCCGUAUCAAGCAGACUCUGCAAACCUUAUCUGAAGCAAAGAAGAGAAGAAGAAAAUAAUGUGUAUUGGCUAAUUGGCAAGAAAAGUUUUAUUUAUUUAUUUAUUUUUUCUCUUCCAUUUCCUAAUUUAAAUUUAGAGAUACAGUAAUAGUAUCAUACUUAAAAAAAAAAAAAUUUUUAUUGUUGAUGUGUUCCCUUAAUUUGUUUCAAAGGAGAGCGUGACUUUUGAUGUUCCUCUACUAUUAACAGAAGAGUUCAGUUGGCACUUGGAAGGUACGCCUAUCUCCGGUUAUUAAUGGUCGGAUUUAACGGAACAAAUCAUAAUCAAUGUACGAUAUCUCGAUUUUCUUCCCAACCCCUCGACCUCCUCACUUCAUAACUUUCGUCUCUUUCCUUUACCUUUUAUUUUAUUUUAUUUUAUUUUUUCUUUCUUUGGCUUUAUUGAUUUCUUUUCGAGCAGAAUCUAGGUGCAAAAUGGUGUUUUUCCAGAAGCAGAAGAAGCUCCAUUCAUUCUCGUCCUUUCUUUCUUGGAAAAUCUCUUUUGCUUCGCCGUUGUCAACGAAGGAAGCUUCUCUUCUUCAGUGACGAUGAUAGAUUCUUCUACAACUGGGAAACCUAUCCAAAAGGUUUACCAACCCAUGAACAUGGAAUUUCAUGAUUUCAGAAUCAUAACUUUGGCUGGUCACCAGUGCUUCUUAGCUUUGUUAUCCUUUAAUGGCAGCUGAAGAAAGCAGGCGACUGCAGGGCUUAAGCCACGGUGAAGGGGAAUCCCUUGACUGAUCCCUUGACUGUGGGGCUUCGGAAGAGAAGGUAUUGAGUGGCUAUUUUGGAGAACAUACUAAAACCCUAUAGGGAUUUGUGAACCCUAGGAUGGUGUUGUGAACAUUCCAUGGAGGAAAACUUCCUCCUAUUUGGUAUACCUGUUUCUAAAUUGAGUUUCUAUUAUGAUUAGGUUGCAACAAAUUUAACAAUAGAGGUUUGAAAGUUGGAUAGCUUGUUUGGCGUUAGCAUCUUUAUCACAAUUAACAAUUGAAAGAAAAUAGGGAUAUAUGCAUGUUAACUGUAAUUUUAGAAUCCCCAUUGCAACUGCACUAAAUUUAUGAGUUACCCAUUUCUUAUAGAAGGCAAAUAAUUUAGGAUGCCUUGACCCAGAUGGUACACUUGCAGAAAAUUGAAAUGGCCAGACUGGUCAAUAAUAAUAACUAUAUUCCACUGAUUAUCUUGUGAUAAUAACCAAUAUGUGGAUUUGGUAUGACUCCAUUCAUGGAGACUGAAAUGAAUCAGCCAGGUUCCAGAAAUUGGUGUUGGUUCAACCCUAAAGAUCAAUAAUUUUUUUCCUUUCUAAUUGCAUUAGUGAGCUAAUCUGUUGUUUGUUUGUGCCUCUCACGGCCAUGCCCAAGAUGGAGAGGUGACUCAAUGGAUUUUCUCUCAUUCCUUGUGCUAUAUUAUUUCAUAUUUAAUAUUCUAUUGCUGAUUCUUAGCAAGAAGAAAAAAAAAAAAAAAAAAAAAAAAAAAAAAGCUCAUCUAUUCCUUAUGGAUCUAAUGUUCUUUUUAUAGACCUAUUAAGUUAGGCCAAUGGCUGGGGUUCUCCCACUAGAAUAUUUGAAAAUUUGUAAAACUGACACACUUAGUAGACUAUCACAAAACAUUAACCUUCGAAACCUAUUCCAAACAGUUUACCACCAUUAAAAAAUAUAUAUAUUAUAUAUAUAUAUAUAUAUAUAUCAUUACUCCUAAGAUAGGACGAUAAGGAGGAAACGUAAAAGUGAUAUCAUGUCUGAAAUAAUCUACUAUAUGGUACUCAAUCAUCUGAUAGUUAAUUUAAUUAAUGAUGUCAACAUUUCCAAAUAAUGUAAUCAAUAGUUGUAGAUCACCCAAAAAAAAAUGAUAUUCAUCAGAGAAAAAAAAAAAUGGGUUGUAGACCAUCUAACAAGCUAUCCCACAUGAUCAAGUAACAUCCAUUUUCUCUUUUGGUGUACUAUCAUCCUUCAAUGUGGAAUUUGAUGUUUUGCAUUACUUGUGAAUCAAUGUAGAGCGGAAAAGAUAUACUUGAGAUUUCCAAUGUCUGUGGACAAAACAGAAAAAUUACAUAUUAACAUCCUCUUGAAACUAAAGAACCUGAAGAGGUGGUUUUAUAUUUCAGAAUGGAAAUGAGUUUGUGAUUCAAAAACAUUGGGGGAAAGAGGGGGGGGGGGGGGUGAAGCGCGUAACUAAGGGAAAAUGGAUUCUCUCCCAUUUUGGUGGUGAAUCAGUUUGUGAAGCUGUUGGUAGGAUUGCCUUCAGUGCCGCGAUCUACCAUAUUUGGUGGAAAGGAAUUUGAGAAGAUGGUCCAGCUCUUCCCAGUCAUAUUGGCAGGUUUGGAACUCAAUUAGUUUUGAGUUCAGGUAGAAGUUCGUCUCUCUCAAUUCCCUUAGUAGUGACAUAAUGAGCGGAACAGGUUUUUGGCUUCUUCCUGGGAUGUGCCUCUUCGCUAUUCUCCUCUCGCCUCCCUCUUUGCCUCCCCCCUCUCUCUCCUAUCCUUUGGUCCCCUAAUCCCUUUACCCUUUGGCUUUGGUUGGUUGUUGGAUUAGGGUCUUGGACCGAGGUUUCUGGGGUUUGGUGAGGUUUAGCCUUGUUGUUUGGUUUUGUUGUUGUUCUUUCCUAUUCAAUUCUCUUGUAUUUAGUUUCUACUCCCUGGGUUUUAAUAUAUUUAUUUAUUCACCUAAAACAAUGUUAUAGGGAUUCAAUAACAGUUAACAAAAUGCUUUUGGGAGGGGGGGGGUUGUAAUCAAUGUUUAAGAUAGUUUUUGGGAAAACUAGUUGGUCCUGUUGGUUGGAAAUUGAGAAUGAAUCAUAUUGCGGUGCGAGUGACCACCAUAAGUCAUUACUUUGGCUGAGAUUAGAGUGAUUUGCAUCCUCAUCUUUGCAUCAAAUACUGAAGAAAGAUGUCAGGAAGAUUUAAUACAAAUGAUCUUCAGAGGGGAAAAAAAGGGUGUAUCAAGGAGUAAUCAUUUGUCUUAAAAAAUUUGGGAGCUGCAAAUCCACCCCUCUGUUGAAGUCAUUCCAUUGAUAACCAUUGAUCACUUGAAAGAUUGAAGUUUGCAUCACUAAUUGAUGUGUAAUGGUGGGAAGGAGACUAUAAGAAACCACAAUUUUUAAAGCCACUCUCAACAUUUAAUUCACAUAUCCCAAGCUACUAACAAUAGUAUACUAGCUAUGGUCUGACAUUGACGAAAUUUGAAGCAAAUUGUUUCAUGAGAUUCAAGAUGGGUUUCUCAUGAACCAUCAUAUCAAUAAGGCCCAGUCCACAAGACUGAUCAAAGCCAUGGAAUUGGCUCUUCUUAUGACAUUUUUCAUUUUAUUGAUUCAAAAGAUAAAAUCAAUAAUUUUAAGGAUGUCUUUGUAAAAAGUUCUUCCAAAUGAAUUUAGGUUAUAAAUAUGAAUCUGCUGUCAGUUUUUGCGGAUUUGAUAUCCCUUUAGGUUCUUUCAAAUGAAUUAGUGCCUUGGUUAGAUAGUAUUCAAGUUGAAAUAACAUGAAGUAAAUAUGAAUCUAUGGAUACUUCUGAUCUUGAAUACAAAGUAGAAAAGAAUGCAAGCUAACUUCUGAAGGAAUUGCAUUUCUUAACGGUAAAAGCCACACCUAGAUACAUAUCAAAGCACAGUCAUAAGAAGCUAUGUGAGACUUAAUGGGGGCCUUGUUGGCUUCUUUGGAGUAGAGAGAGGGCUUCGGCAAGAUGAUCCUCUAUCACUCAUUUUGUUCAUCCUUGCAGAAGAACUCUUGUGUAGGGGCCUUCGAUCCAUGAUUCAAGAGAAGAAAUUGCAGCCUCUUCAGGGUCUAAGAGGAGUGGAGAUGCUGGGUUUUCUGUUAUUUGUAGAUGAUAUUUUUAUCUUCUUGAAUGGCUCUAUCAGGUAUGUUAGACAUAUAAACACUUUUUUUAACAAAGUACCAACCAUCCAUCACCUGGAAGAGAUCACACUAUUUUCGAGAAGCAAAUGUUGUGGCUGACUACCUUGCCAGAGAUGCAGUCAAGUCUGGAAAUUCUAGCUGCCUUGCUUCUUUCCCGGCUCACAUUAGCUCUGAAAUUUCUUCUAAUGCAAUCUCUCGUCCAAGAUUUCGCUCUAUGUAACUUUGGGAUUUUUCUUCUUUUGCUGAUGGCCAUGCCGAAGGUGGGGGAUUAAAUUUCCUAGUAUUUGUACUUUCUUUUUUUUCCUUUUUUAAUAAAUUCCCUAAAUCUUUAGCAAUAAAACCAACAAUUUUUUGGGUAGAAAAUUAAUCUAGAAAAGAGCAAGCUCUUCCUUGGAAGAAUGGCCUUGGAAAGAAAACAAAUCAUCUUGGAUACCCUUGGAAUUUCCAUUUGUAAAUUUUCCACUAAAUACUUAGGUGUGGAAAUUUUCAAAGGGAGAGUAAAAGGGAGCCUUUGCUGCCAGUGAUGGACAAAAUUAAAGGGAGGAUUGCAAGUUGAAAGGAAAUCUAUUGUCUAUGGUAGUAAGGGUGGAGUUGGCUCGAUCAGUAAUAUAUGAAAUGCCCACUCAUAAUUUCUCUGUGUAUUGGUGGCCUAGCUCUCUCUUGAAAACCAUGGAACAAUGGAUGUGAAGCUUUAUCAGGACAGGAGAUUCUGACGCUUAAAAAGGAGUGACAAUAGAAUGGCACAUGGUUUGAAAGCUAAGGCAAGAAGGAGGUCUAGGGAUCCAUCGAUUAAGAGAUGUGAAUAAAGCUCUUCUCUGCAAGCAAGUGUGGCAUAUGAAACAGUUGGACUCAGCUUUUAGUAGGCUUAUUAAGGCAAGAUUUGUGAGUAAAAGUGGAGAUUUCAAGAAGGGCUACAAUUCCUCUUCAUUUUGGCCAGGUUUUAAAAGGAUGUAGAGCUUCACAUCAAGUACAGAAAGGGGGAUUGUGGGCAAUGGUGAAUCCAUAGACUGUUGGAAAGAUAGAUAGAUUGGGGUGGCUUCUAUUCAAGAGAUGUCUUCUCUUGAUCCUCAAAUUUUUAAUUCUUCCAAGAGGAGGGUAGCUGAUUUCAUUCACAACUACAAGUGGGGUUUCCUUGAGAUAAAUUCUCUUUUUCUUCGGAAUAUUUUUAAUUCUACUUCUAAGAUCAAGAUCCCUAUAGAAGACAUAGAGGAUAAGUGUGUUUGGAGCCUUUUGACUUCAGGGGACUUUAGUACAAAAUCUACUUGGAAUGAAAUACGAUGUCGGAAUCCCAAAGUACCAUAGUGUGAUUUUGUUUGGGGAAACCACCUAACUCCACGGCAGUCGACCUUUGGGUGGAGGCUAUUUCAUAAGGAAUUGCCCACAGAUGAUAUCAUAUGCAGGAAGGGCAUCCCAUUAGCCUCAAGGUGUAUCCUAUGUGAAGCGGCUAGUGAGUCUUUUUCCCAUAUUUUUUGGAAUGUAGUGUGUCGCUGCAGGUUUGGAUGAGGUUUCCUGACUGCUUUGGCCUGUAAUGCUUUGGUCUGUAAUGGAAGAGUCAUUCUUCUUUAUCUGAGUUGAUGUUUUGGUGGAAGAGGAAGAAAAGGGUUGUCUAUCAAGGAUCCGUGGGUUGUAGGCCUAAUUCUGGUCGCUGAUAAUAUUUGGAAAGAAAGAAAACAGAGAAGAUUCGGUGGUAAGGGGAUGGGCUCAAAUGUGAUAUUUGCUAGGGUUUUGAGAGACCUAAAGGAUGCAAGCCUUAAUCUGAAAGGAAUUGGUUGAUCUACUUCAGACUUUCUAUGUUGUAGGAAACUGCGUCUUCAGGUGAUUCCUAGAAAUGAGAAGUGGAUUGUGGGAGAUGGGAAGAAUAUUGAUUUUUGGAGGCACAUCUGGAUGGGUCCCAAUUCAAUUUGUACUUUUUCUGGUCUUGGGGAAGAUGUUUUUAGAGGUUUUUUCCCCAAGGUGGCGGAUUACAUAGUCAAAUUGCGGAUUUUCUAGCAAAAGAUGCAGCUAAGUCUAGCUUCUCGGGGGUUGAAAUUGUCCUUGCCUGCUUCCAUUUCCAAGGAGCUCAUUAUCGAUGAAGUAGGAAGACCUCUCUUUAGAUUUUGCAGAUAGCAGUUGUGAGCCUCUGCUGAUGGCAAUGCCGAAGGUGGAGGCUCCUUCUGGCUCUUUUUGUGAUCUCAUGUAAUUUCCUUUUUAAGUAUUUUUUAUUACAAUUCUUUGAUCUUCUAGCUAAAUAAAGGUGAUUCCUAACACUGCUUGCAAAAUUCUAGAAAUUCAUUGGUGUAAAUCUUAGGUUAACCGGGUGAAGCUAAACUUGGAUGGCAGCCCCAUGGGGAACUUUGGAAGAGGAGAAGCAGGAGUGCUCCACAAUCAUUAUGGGAAUGUGAUUUUUUCAUUCAAGCAGUAUCUAGGAAUUCAGACUAACUACUAUGUAGAAUUUAAAGGACUGCUUGAAGGAAUUCGUCAUGCAAUGAGACAUGAAGUGGGAAACUGUAGCGGUUGUGAUUGCAGUCCAAUAAAAAUCUAUUCCUUGGUUUGCUCAAUAGGAUUGGAUGGCAUUGCAGCAGUUCCUCUCCUUUAUUUCAUGGAAGAUUUCUCAUUGCUAAAGGGAAGCUAAUCCAAUUGCAGAUUACCUUGUAAAAAGUGCUACAAAGAGGAGUUCCCUCAAUAUGUAUUUGAUGAAAUUAUGAAUGAUAUCUUAUCUAUGUCUAGAUUUAGAUUUAACAUAUAGUAAUGGAGGAACCCUGUUGAUGGCAAUGCCGAAGGAGGGGGUCACUCUCUACUAAGUGAUGAAUCAUGUAAUAGAUGGAGGAAGGGGUUAGUAGUUUCCUUGAACAUGCCUUAUAGUUGCAACAUAUCAUCUGUAGCUUCUUGAACCCAAAGCCUUAAAAGAAUUUGUUUUGUAGGAUCAGUCAAAUAGGACCUUCUGCAUGGGGUCAAUCAUAUAUUUUAUUUCUCUUAGGACAUUGAGCUUGCAUUUUAAUAUUUAUGAUUUGGGUUGGCAUAUAAUAUAAUUCAAGAUCUUGCAAAGGCAAGGAGUAGGACAUUCUUUUUCCUUUGCCUUUACUGAAAUGACCAAUUGAAUAACAAAAAGGUACUACAAUAAACAUUACAACUGACAAACAAAAGGUAGUAAAAAUUCUUUCCAAGCAAUUGGAAUUGAAAGUCUGUUUAUCACAGAAAGCAACAUAAGGAUAAUAAAAAAGCAAUGGAGAAACUUUAAAAUCUCUCUCUCUCUCUCUCUCUCUCUCUCUAUAUAUAUAUAUAUAUAUAUCUUAUGUAUCAUACUAUUAUAUAAAAGCAUGUACUCAUGCUUCAUGGCUAAUAUUUUCUUUGACUAUUAUACCCUUUUUUUUUUGUUUAAAUACUAUAUGUGCUUCAUAUCCUCUCUCUCUCUCUCUCUCUCUCUCGUGAAACCACACAACUCUCUCUCUAACAUCCUCUCCUUUUAUCUUUGCUCUGCAGUUAAGACUAUCACUUGACGAAAUCUUCUCCUUCAAUCUUUUCCCUCCACUUCGAAUUUUUUUCGCUAAAGAUCAGAAUUAUAAUAAAAAUAGAAAAAAGAUCCAAAAUACAUCGAACACAAAAAGCUGGAGAGCAGCCCCACCUUCAGCAUUGUCUUCAACACGGGCCCUCAACAAUGACAAACUAGAAAAGAUAUCUAAGACUAGCAGUAGCAUCCCUUUGAAUUUCCUCUCUGAUAUGAGAAGGAAAAACAAAAGGAGACACUAAAAGACUAGUUUUAACAGCUUCCUUACUGAGGAAAUCCACCACAACAUUAGCUUCCUUGAAACAAUAUGCUACCUUCCAAUUAAUUGACGUAAGAUACAAAGUCACAGCGCUCCAGUCCUACAUCACAAGCCAAGGAAUAAUUUUAGAUUGCAAAGCCUUCACUAUUGCCUUAGUGUUAGAUUCAAUCCAGAGUGACUCCAUCCUACAAUUUUUCUCUCUCAAGAUACCUUCCAUUAGCCCUUUGAAUUCAGCCACAUAGUUGGUGUGAAAUCCUAAGAAGGAUCUAUGGGCCUCCAAGACAUUGCCCUGCGAUCGUGAAGAAGCCCUCCCGGACCAACACAACCUGGAUUUCCCACAGUGCAGCCGUUUGCGUUAAGUUUCACCCAAUUUGUAAUUGGCCUACACCAGUAGACUUCAAGAAUGGCUUUCCUUGGGCAAGGGAUACCUUGUAAUCCCAAUUUACGACAACAUAUAAGGUCGCUAGGCACUCGAAUAACACCUUUCAGAUUUGGUUACACUCUUGUAGAUCUCUUCUUAUUAUGCUAAAAUCUGACUGAGGGCUCUAUUCCUGCCUUCUAAUCUCCUCCCAUUCCUUUCUUUCCAAAUGUUAUCAGUCAUAAGAAUAAAUCCCGCCAACCAUGGAUCUUUCACGGAAAGAAUUUGGUGCUUCCUCUUCCACCAUAGCACAAGAUCUAAUAUGGAGGUUAGGCAGCCCUAGACUACACUAAAAGCAUUCAAGAAAUUUACCUUAACCAUCCACUGAGAAGCUACACUCCAAAAAGAUAUGAUGAAUAGUUUCUCCAACCUUCCCACAUAGACUAAACAUAGAGACUAGGGGAAUUCCCUUUGCACUAAUAACAUCGUCUGUAGGAAGCUUCCCAUGCACCAGCAGCCAUCCAAAUGUUGAUGGAUGAGGUUGUAGAUGUUUCCCCCCAAACAGUUGAAAACUAAGGAACCUUUGGGUUGCGCUUGCGUAUCUCGUUCCAUGCAGAGAAGGUAGAAAAAAAUUCCAUUUGUAGUAUAGCUCCAUACACAUCUAUCUUCAACAUCAAAUUGAGAAAGCCUCACCUCUUCGAUUGUAGUAAAUCAUUCCACAUGAAAGAGGAUCCAACCUUAGGGAAAGACCAUUUAAGAUUAAGUCUGCAAUCUUUAAUGAAAAUUUUGAAAAAUUCCACCCCAAUAUCAGACUUCUCCUUAAUAGAGAAAUCUCAACACACCUGUCCUUUUAGAAAUUUAUUGAUUUUCCAUUCCCCAUAAUCCAUAUUUUUGCUAGAGACAAACCCCUGUGUUCUUCUUAUUCUAGGCCAAAUAGAAGAAGAUGAUUUGUAUCUCUUCUUAACUGCAUGUCCUUUUCCAACAUAUCUAGCCCUGAAGAAUCUACUCAUGGCUGAACUUCCAAGCUUGAUAUUCAAAGCUUGUUUGCAUAGUAGAGCCAUGUAAACAUCACGAAGACGUGGGAUUCCUAGGCCACCUUCAUCUCUAAGCUUACAAACCUGAUCCUAUUUGAUAGUCACUGCCUUUGUAGUCUCCACAUCAUCCAUCCAAAUAAAAUUCCACAUCCAUCUUUCCCUCAAAGAUGGAAGCAAGGAUUGGCACCACUUAAACUUAUCACCUGACAAAAUAUAUAUAAUAUCUAGCCAUGCAUGGUUUGCACCUCUCUCUCUCUCUCUCUCUCUCUCUCUCUCUGACCCCCUCUCCUUCCAUCUUUCCCAUCCACUUAGACUUUCCACUUGACAAUAUAUAUAUAUCCUAAUAAAUACCCUUCUCUCCAAACUAUAGGAAUCUUAUCACUUCAAUAUACAUUAACUAUCUCUUCUAUUUUUAUCUUAUUAUCAUUAGGAAUCAAAUCUAUCUAUGGAUCUCUCCCUCAUUUAAUUUCUUGUCCAUUUCUAGGUUUCUCCAGUUACAAAAAAAGCCUUUUCUUCUUCUUGUGCAAUCUGUGGAUUUUUCGUUCCAAUGUGAUGCUGAAAGCUUUGGCUGAUGUUUUGCCACUUCCUUUCAUGGUUUUUGAGUUUCAAGAUGGACUUUUUCUAUCGAAUGAGUUAUGUGGUGGAGGUUGUGAUGUCGUUUUGGAGUUUUGCUUUGCUUUCUGCUUCUUCUCUUUUGUUUUGCUUCAGUUCUUACAGCAAUGGUGAGUAAUCUACUCAAAUAUAAUGCACGUGUUAUUAAGUUAAAUUUUAUUAAGCUUCUUGUUCAGAUUUUAGGUUUUUUCUGUGAUAUGGAUUUCUAUAGUUUUUUAGGCCACUGAAAUUUAUCUACUCUAUUCUAAUUAUAAUUGGUUGGAUUAUAUUGUGGUAUGACUAAAGAGUCGAUGUCGCAGCAGUUCCGAUAGAGCCAUUCUUCUCUAAGUUCAUCAGAAAGUGGUGAGUCAAUGUGCGAAUCUGGUUUACCUAGGCUACCUUUUGGUGACUUGGUUUAGAUUUUGGUCACCUAUGCUGAGUUUUCUCUCAUAAUGGUUGGGGUUGGUUUUGGAAAGUGUCCUCCCCAAAUUCAAAGCCUGAAAACUCUUCUAUUUACUUUCUUUUUUCCUUUUUAAAAUUUCGUGGGUUGGUUUUAAAAUUGAAUGUCCCUGCAACCCUAUUGUUCUCAUACCGUAAGGUCAGUUUUGAAUCUUCCAGAAGGCGUAAGUCAUUGAUGAAGACCUGGAUGACUUUCAUUCAUGAAGGCCUUCAACGAUAAAUCUGCCUCCUUUUGUCUUGGAACCACCCCAAAAAAAGUUAGCAUUUUCCUUUCUGUAUCUUAUCUUUCUGCUUAAUAUAUUCUAUUUUUCUCCUAUUUGAAUUGAAAAUAUUAGAACUUUGAUGAUCAAGUAGGUCGAUACCCACCAAGAGAAAUGUAGUAAAUACUGCAUACUGGUGUUUCAAACUUUUUUUGUUUCUACCAGCAUUGAUACCUCUUGGGAUCUGGACCCACCAUUUGUUAGCAAUCUGAAAAUGGUGGAAUAUGGAUUUACAGUUUUAUGUAACCAAUGCUAGAUUUUGGAAAUUUUCUUAUUGAUUAAAAGAGCUACUACAUCUAGUAGUGUAUGAACUUACUGUUUCAAUCUUCACACUCUUGUUUACCAAAAAAAUCUUCAAUAUUUUGGAUUAAUCCAAUGGCUUUUAAAUUUUCGACACCUCAAGUUCUUGGGGGUUGGUUACAAUGAUCCUAUUAAGGCCACACUAAACAAAAACUUUCAUCUUCUUUCCAUCAAUCACUUAUGCUUUUGGCAGCUUAGAUGUCUACAUAACAAAAUUACAUAUGUUCGGAACUAUGAUAUCUGAAUGUUCAGCAAUCAGGAUGUCUCAAUUGGUUCAUGAUGCUUGCUAUGAAUGUCAGUCAUGAGGAUAGUCGACUACUUUGUGAACCGGACACGAUCAUCCAUUGCUGUUUGAAAGUUGAAACAUUCCUAUGUGCACAUGUUGGUUUCUCUUGCUAUCGUCUCUAGGUUUUGUUUUUAAGCAUUAGAUAUACUUUUAUCUUGACUUGCUUUCACUUUACUGCUAAUGUCAAGAUUGAUUACAUGAAUCUCUGAAUGGAAUAUUAUUUAUCUGUUGAUGAAGGGGGUUUCCAAGCCUUUAGGAGCUGGUGUCUUUUAUUCCUUGGAUCUAAUUAGGUUAAGCAACUAAAUCGGCAACUUGACACAAGAAACUAUGUAUUCUAGAAGUAAAUAAAUUAAAUUAAACUGCUGAAAGAGUUUCUCUGUUAAUAACCUGCUACCUUACUUUUGGUUAUCUCUUGGAAUGGAACGAUUUCUGUUAGCCUUUUGCAGCUUCUCAGUGUCUUGAUCUUCACGAAAAGAUGUAAUCAUAGUGAGUCAUUUACAUAUCAUGAAUAUGGAAGGUAAUUCAAGUAGUGAAACCUUUCUAUUAUUAUUUAGAAAUAAGUCUCUUUGAUGGUUCCAUCUUGAAGCAUUUUCUCAUCUAUUCAAUUAUUUUGGCUUCCAAAAUUAAAAUGAUUGAAUUCCUGAUGGCACCCAAAUGCAGCCUUUCAGUUGCAGGCAUUAUUACAUUGGGUUUUAUUAGUUUGGAUUUCUGCAUAAACAAUAAAUUAUUCUUAUAAGUUAUUAUUCCCACACCCCCUUGGACUACUUAUAAAUUACUCUUUGACGGGACCAAUGUUGCUUUCUUCAAUUAGGUCUCUGCAAUACAAAAAAAAAUUUCUAGAACUUCAUGAGAUGUGCUAAAAAAGUUCCCACUUUGACUUAUGAUGAGUGAAAGGUCCAAUCUUUGUAUCUUGAGGAUGCAUUUAAUUGUAUUUGGUUUGCUUGCACACUCGAACUGUCAUUUUUGGAUUGACUUCUUUCUUAGGAAAUUCUUUUCAUUCCCCCAUCCCCAGUGAAUUUUUCUUUGGCUGAUAUUGAUUGAACACUAAAGCAUAUUUGGGCGGAAUGAAAAUUUGUUGCUGGUUUUUGGUUUGAGGAAGUUUCUGGACAAUCUGCGUUACCUUAAAUUUUCUAAGGAACAUGAAAGUCUUCUUGGUUUAUUCAGAUUAUGAGGAUCAAUAUUUGGAAUCCCAAACCAGGAGAACACCUAACCUAUAGUUGUCCAGUGGGGAAGUGGUUACUCAUAUCUAAGUGUUUGAACUUUAUUGAUACUGCCAAAUCUGCCGACUUGGUUUGUCGCCCUGGACAAAACUAAUAACUUGGUGAAGGAAAACCAUGUGGAUAAGGAUGAGUUUGUUCAACUAAGAUAUGCCAUAAGGAACUAGAUGUGAGUUAGAAGUUCUCCACCUUGUUUGAGUUGUUUUGCAUGAUUUGGCUCUUCACAGUGAGCUGCAAUUAUGUGAUAGCAUCUCCACCAAUACACAACUAAUUAAUUAUCUACCACUUCUAAUCCAGUGCCUUUAACUGAUCUGUGAGCCUAUAUGCAUCAAUAGGACGGACUUGCUUGUGGGACCUCUGAACUCCAUAGGUGGAAUAUAUUUCACUUGCACUAACAAAUCAUAAAGUUGUUUGGUUUUCAGAUCUGAUUUUUUCUCUUGGACGAAAUUCAUGGCUUCUGCCUCGGUGUCUCGACUCGUCAUGUCCCCAGUAUUAAUGGGCACCAUAAACUGACAGUACUGCAAGAUAAACCAUAUAAUCUGACACUAGCUUGCAUGUCUCUCUCUCUUUUUGUGAACUGUAGGAUGAUCAUCGGAGUCAGAGUGAGCCUGAGGAUGAUAGUAGCAGAGAUCGGUAGUGAUGUGCUAAAUAAGAAUGCUUUGAUCAAAUUUUACAUCAUCAAUAGUCCACCGAAGCAAACCAUAGAGAUGACUGGUACUAUACUGUGCAGGCGCUUCGCUUCAUUCAAUUUAACGGCCAUGUAUGAUUUGCUGCAGAGCUAUUGGAAGAUAAAAAAUUGCAAAUGGUCAGGGACUUCCUUAAUUAUAUAGGUUACAUAUAACAACCUUGUGUUUUGUCUCAGAUUAAACCGAGUUCACUCAUCGGGCACCAAGAAAUCCGGAAGUGUUAUUCUUUUUAUUAUCCGAUUCCGCAAGUAUAUCGUCUUUGAGCCAAACGCUUAGUAGAUUGAAAUGCCCAAUCCGAGUUAAUUAGCAUACCAAUGGCGGAACUAAUCUCCAAUGUGAUGGCCACAACGAACAACAGGUUUGUUUUGAUUGCGUCAGUCCUUGGAUACCGUAGCUUGUCAACAUUGGACAAGAACUCAACAAAUAUAUUAUGAUUAUGUGAAAAUUUUGGCUAACAAAUUUGACAGUAAUCUUGUGGAUUAGGAAGUUUCUUCUAGUGAUACCGAUGACUUGGUUAAGUUUUCCAUUGGUAGCAAUUAAUGUUGUAUAAGAAACAAUUUCUUGCUUAAUCAAAUUUUCUGUGCAUCAACUUCAUGAUCA